AAGCUCGCGAGAGUAAGCUAAUCUCUUAAAGCCGUUCUCAGUUCGGACUGUAGGCUGCAACUCGCCUACACGAAGUCGGAAUCGCUAGUAAUCGCGGAUCAGCAUGCCGCGGUGAAUACGUUCCCGGGCCUUGUACACACCGCCCGUCACACCAUGGAAGUCUGCAAUGCCCGAAGCCGGUGGCCUAACCACUUAUGUGGAAGGAGCCGUCUAAGGCAGGGCAGAUGACUGGGGUGAAGUCGUAACAAGGUACC
rnacentral:rRNA from 1 species